rnacentral:rRNA from 1 species
GGGACAACAUUCCGAAAGGAAUGCUAAUACCGCAUACGCCCUACGGGGGAAAGCAGGGGAUCUUCGGACCUUGCGCUAAUAGAUGAGCCUAAGUCAGAUUAGCUAGUUGGUGGGGUAAAGGCCUACCAAGGCGACGAUCUGUAGCGGGUCUGAGAGGAUGAUCCGCCACACUGGGACUGAGACACGGCCCAGACUCCUACGGGAGGCAGCAGUGGGGAAUAUUGGACAAUGGGCGAAAGCCUGAUCCAGCCAUGCCGCGUGUGUGAAGAAGGCCUUUUGGUUGUAAAGCACUUUAAGCGAGGAGGAGGCUACUGAGAUUAAUACUCUAGGAUAGUGGACGUUACUCGCAGAAUAAGCACCGGCUAACUCUGUGCCAGCAGCCGCGGUAAUACAGAGGGUGCGAGCGUUAAUCGGAUUUACUGGGCGUAAAGCGUGCGUAGGCGGCUUUUUAAGUCGGAUGUGAAAUCCCUGAGCUUAACUUAGGAAUUGCAUUCGAUACUGGGAAGCUAGAGUAUGGGAGAGGAUGGUAGAAUUCCAGGUGUAGCGGUGAAAUGCGUAGAGAUCUGGAGGAAUACCGAUGGCGAAGGCAGCCAUCUGGCCUAAUACUGACGCUGAGGUACGAAAGCAUGGGGAGCAAACAGGAUUAGAUACCUGGUAGUCCAUGCCGUAAACGAUGUCUACUAGCCGUUGGGGCCUUU